AACCUAAAGAAAAGAAGCAGUCGCACCUUGUCGUCUUCUCCUCUUUCCUUCCAUUUUUGGAUGACUACUCCACCUCCUUUCACCAUCACGGGUCUUUGCCACUCCAUUUCCGUGCAACGUUCGACUAUAGUCAACACAAAUGGCCAAAAAACUUUUGAAGUUUCUGAAAAGAUCGAUUUUAGAGAUUUGAUUCGGACUCCAAACGGCUAAUUCAAUCUCGAAGCCAGAGUCUCGGUCUCUCCAUUUCGGGCAAGAUCCGAAUCAAAUCAUGUGAGGUUCGUCCUAUUCUAUAACGUUUUCAAAACAACCCCUGACCAAGGGUUCGGUCUGGUUUUCCCACUCAAGAGUCCACAAACCCUAGUUUGUUCCGCCUAUAUAUUUGACAUAUAUCUUCAGAAAAAAAGGGAGGAGAGAAAAAAGGGGACAUCGGAAAAAUAAAUAGGGUUUUGGGAAUCUGGGUUAGGUAUCAAAAUCCCUGAUUAAGGCUUUCAUUCAAAUUUAAUCCCGUUUAAUCAAUAAAUCAAUUUUAAGUAGAGUUUCCAACAAAGUCCAGUUUGAUUACUCUUGUUUUAAAACCUUCUUUUGCGUCAUGUGCUUGGAUGUGUUGAGGUUUUCACUCGAAAAGAAUUCGAGCGUCAUUCGCGUUCGAGCACAGAUCCGAGACCCCGCGUCCUGUUCACUGCACACGAAGAAGGUCAGAAACCCUCCUUCUCUUUCUGCUUUAAGUUCUGUUCUAUGAAAACUUAUGUAGUUAGAUUAGCUUAAUUUAGUAUGGUUCUUAUUUGGUAUGGUGAUUAACUAUUUUGCUAAGUAUGUUUCACUAGUCCAGUUUGCCGAGACAUGAGAGUUGUAUCACGUAGUUAAUCUGCUUUAAUAGGAUUAUGUAUGUUAGUUUAGUUGGUUGUUUAGCAUGUCGAUUAUAACCAGACGAAUAAUGCUCUCUACAUUAUUUAAUAGUUGAACCUGCUCGGUAUGUCUAGAUUGGCUCAAUCUAUUAGGUCUUUAUGUGCAUCUGUCUUGUUUGGCAGUUUGAUUAGCUUGUUUUAUUUUGCUUAUGGAUUUAUUUUAGUGUCUGCUUACUAUAUGUUUGUGUAUAUUUAUGAAUUAGUUGUUAGUAUAGCAUCGUUAGUAGUUUAGCAUUACAAGUCUGUCCUUUAGUUAAUAUGGGGUUGUUUGUUUAUGUUGGUUUAAUGACCAUUGUAUGAUUAGUAUAGUCUAGCUUUAGUGUAGUGUUAGCAUUAGUUUAUGUUGUUAUGAUUAAUCUUUCAAAUAUGUCACUAGUUCAUAUUUAUGUUCAAAUGUUAGUAUGUAUAACUCCAUAAACCUGUUAAUUCCUUUUUUUAAAAAUAAGUGCCCAUGUUAAAUGUUAUUGCCUUAUUUAGUUUAGUCUGAGUCUGUUAAUACCCAUGUUAAUCUUAAUAGUCCUUAUCAUGUGUUAGUAGUAUACUGAGGUUGUAUUUAAGAAGUCAAGUUGGGGUUUAGAUAUGCAUAUAGGAGAUUGAAUAAAAAAAUGCUUAAUUGACAUUUAAAGUUACUUUUAUACCUGUUAGGAUGAUCCAUAGUUCAUUUGGAAUAAAGCAUGUCUUUAUAUGUGAGAAAUGAUCAAUUAUGCCCUUGUAUGCCUCUGUUUUGCCCAAAAUUAGUUUGUAUGUGCCAAUAUUUGAUUCAGACUAUUCUAUUUUCAAAGGGAAAUAAAUCUGUGGUUUGAGUACUUGCUUGAAAGACCCAAAAAUGGCAUGAACCUUUUUUUGUAAAUUGAACAUGGCAUGUCUGUUUAAAUGAAGAUUCAAUCCUGUAUUUAGCACAAUUUGUUGUGUGUUUGAAAGCAUGCCUUAUAUUUAAUUGGAUUGUUUACUUUUUCUGAAACUGCCUAUAUGAUUCCAUGAUUGAACUGCGCAUGACUAGCCUAUAUGACUCCAUGGCUGAGCUAAACAUGACUAAGGCAUCUUCAUAUCUACCCUCCCCUUUUCCCCUGUACCUGUACAUGUUUCUUCUUCUUCAGAAAUACUUGCAUGUUGUCUUAAAUGCACUGUAUGAACCUGCAAAGAGACUGUUUCCUCUUAAGUUAUCAAAGAUUUAGCAAGCAUGAUACCUAGUCUUGUCUGUUUAGCUCCUUCUAUGGAAUCCAUGUCUACUGUAUCUCUUUAUGAUUAUGCCAAGACUGUUAUUAAGACCAAAUCACUCGGCUUACAUGUCCAUUUGCUAAGAGAAUCUGAAAGACUGUCCCUUUUCUAUUUGUACACAUUUAGUUGACUACACCAAAUGCACAUGACCCUAUUAUGAGACACUUGUUAUAAUGUUAAUAUAUGUUCUAACCUGAUUAUUGCACUACUGUUUGUCUGUUGCCCCCUUGAUGUUUAAGCUUGGGUUUACUUUUCUUUGCAUUUAUAAUCCGGAUUGAGUUUUGUUGUGUCACGAGAAUUAGCUAAAAAUAAAUCAGUACCUAUGUGGUCACGUUAAAUUCAUGUUAUGUAUGCAUUUAAAACCAUGAUAUCCUCGGGUAAAUUCCCUUGUCACUAAUCUCUUCAUUUUUUUUAAAUGUACACUUCGGAGCGAAAUGGAGUCUUUGUAAAGACUCAUUGUCCGAGCGGUCUCGUCUGAGACCAUGCUGCCUCGAAGCCUCUGUCCCUCAUUACUCAUUUCCUCUCUCUCUCUCUCUCUCUUCCAUCUGAACAAAAAAAAAAAGAAAUGAAAUGAGUGCAAGGAAGCUGCAUCCGUCAUAACUUUCUUACAAUCUUAUUUUUUUUACUUGUGGGAUUGUCCCUUGAAUAUGCUGGUUCUCUUGGAAGGAUAUAGCCUAGAAUGCUAUCAAUUUAGAAAGGGUAGAUUAUGGUGCCUAUAACGUUUUGAUGUUCUAGAAUUGAAGUAUCCAUAACCCUUACGUCGUUGAUAGUCUUGCUAGGAAGGAAACGUGGUCUAAUUAUUUCUUCCUUAACUUAUUGAAAACUGAUUUUUUUUUUUUUUAAGAUUUGGACAGCUUCGUUGUGUUAUUAAAAAGUAAAUUUUCGUUAUGGUGAAAGUUUUUUUUCUGAAAUAUCAAUUGCAAGAAGAGUAGGUUGAAGUUCUUUUUAAUAAUCAAGCUAAAUUAAAAGAGUAGUUUUCUUUUGUUUUACCCGAAGUUAAAUUUGAAGAAGGGUUAACCAAUUGAGAUUAGCUUUUGGCAUUAUCAGAUCUUAUUUUAAACAUGCAUCUUUCUCCUUCACUGUAUUUUUAGAGCAAACCCGUAUUCCAACAUCAUCGACAUAUUACUAUAACGUAUUUCUAACUCCAUGCUCAAAUCUAUCAAGUUUCUUUAAAGUAGUUAUUUAUGUAUAACUCCUUAAAUUCAUACAAGAUGUUACGAAAUACUUUUGUUUGGAAACAAACGAUGCUAAGAUAUAUGGUUUAUAAAAAUGAUUUCAGUCCUUGUGAAAAUAAUUGUUUCUUUGUUUAAAUUCAGAAAUGCAUUACGUUAUUAUUUGAAAACUCUCUACCUAUAUAUCUUUUUAUGAAAUAUCCUUUUCUUAAAUUAUUUAUAGUCUUAUUUUAAAUAGCAUUAUUAUAUUUUAUAACCUUAGCAACACUUACAGGCUAUUUUCUUAAAUAUUGCAAAAUGUUAUAUUCGCAUUUUUUAGCCUUAAAUUAAUUAGCAUAAGUUCGGUCGGUUAACCAUUGUUAAUGAAUCUUAAAGGAUGUCUAAUACCUUCCCUUUAGAUUAGUUGAACCCUUACCUAGAUCUUUUAGUUUCGUAGACUUUAAAACGGAGUUAACUUUAGAAAAUAACAUUAAUUAACCUUAGGUGCCCUAAUUCACCAUAAUAAUUAGGUGGCGACUCCCUAACUUUAAUUAACCCCGAAAUUACCGGGAUGUUGUAAACCAUUUUGACUCCGGUUAAAAUGGGGUAUAACAGUCAGGUCUCGCUUUUCUUAAUCAUUGCAAGCUCCUCCUCCAUUGCGGCUUGCCACUUGGGAUCUGAAAUGGCUUCCUCGAAUCCAGAAGGCUCUAAAUCGCCACAUUGCAUCUCUGGUAUAUAUCAGAGAGCAACCUUGUUCCUCUCACAGGUUGAUGAUCAAUAUUCUUAUUAGAAUCCAGCAGAUUGCUUGUAAUCUGCUUUUGCUUACCUUCUUCCCAAUCCCAUUGCUCAUUCUCCAUAAAAUUACACAUCUUUGCUUAUCACAAUUUUUCCUAUUUGAGGUUGCAAAAUUCUGUAAGCUUUAGAGAUUGUGCUAUAGCCGAUAAACACUCCGGGUUGAGCCUUCUUGUCCAACUUGUCUCCCUUAACCUAUGGAAUAUAAGAGAAACACAACUAACCAAAUAUCUUUAAGUUUUUCAAGGAAGGCUUAUAUCCAUGCCAUGUCUUAAAAGGUGUCUUUCCCUCCACUGCUUUUGUAGGCAACCUGUUCAACAAAAACACAGCAGUACUAGCUGCUUCUGCCCAUAAAUUCUUUGAUAGGCCCUUCUCAUAUAACAAGCACCUCAACAUCCCCAUUAUAGUCUUAUUCUUCCUUUCACUUACCCCAUUUUGUUACAGAGUAUAUGGGGCAGUGAGUUGAUGCUCGAUGUUGACACCCAAUUUUGUCCCUCCCUUAUUUAAUUUUAUUCACUCGGGCAUCUAAAUUUAUUGACGAGCUAAAUACUUUAUUUUCACUACUAUUAUUUUCACUACUUUUAUUUUCAACAUCACGAGCAUUACUUUAUCACAAAUUUUUAAAUAUUCGUCAUCGUUUCAUUUUUUUCGGUUUGGAAUCGUUAAAUUAAUUACAAGACAACACUUUGUUAAAUCCUUAUUUUCUACAUAUUAAUUAUUAAUUGUCAUCACAUAGUAUAUAUUGUACUAGUUAUUAAAUUAGAAACCCAAGAAUAAUUAAAUAGAGGAAGAAUCAACAAUUUUCACCUCAUAAGCAAUUGCUCGGAAGUAUAUCAAUGUUGGACUCAUUUUGAAGCUCGUAUUUUAAAACAACGUAUUAUAAUUUUUAUUUCAUCAAAAUAUUAUUUUACAAGGGGUAAAUUCUUGACAAUAGCUAUCUACCCCAAAAGAAAAAAAAGAAAAAAAAAAGAAAAAAAAAAGAAAGAAAGAAAACUUUGCAUUUGCAUUCCUCUUUCCACGCCACACAUCUCCCCUGAUUUCUUUUUCCCUUUUUCUUUAAUAGGCUCCACAUGCUUCUUCCUUUUUUGACUGCAUUUCACUCAGGCUCCCUUCCAUUUCUUCUUGUCCUCCCACGCCUAUGUCCUCUCUACUCUCUCUGUCUCCCCCCCCAAUUUCUGGACAGAAUUUUAACAUUUCAACGGCUCUCUCUUCUCUUCCUCUCUUUAACAAAAAUCCUAAUUUUCUACAUCUAUAAAUACUUUAUUAAAUGUUUUAGCAGGGGGGGAUUUUUUUGGAACAUCUUGAAACACUACCAUAUCAAAUACAUUCUCUGCACAUUUUAAAAGGGGAAGAACCUUUAAUUUCUAGAGUUACUCUCUCUGUCUCAGUAGACUUUAGCAGUGACAGAGAUUUCGGAAUUCAUUUGAGUCAAGUUUCAAAUUUAUUCAUAACAAAGGAGUAGAUCUGAAGAGGACCUCAAAGUCUUUGUUCACUGCACCCACAAAAGGUAAAUUCGACUCUAUUUUAGUUCAUUUACUCCCUCCGUAUCUAGAGUCUUUGCUUAUUUAGGAAAAAUCCAUGUUGAUGAUUUUAUUUUUGUGUGUUCGGAUAAUGAAUGUUUUAAGCAUGACUAUGAUUCUACUUCAGUUAAGUUAAUUUGUUUUUUCUUCUGCUACCUGCCAUGCUGAAAUUUUCUUGAAAUCCUAUUCUUUGUUCCUUUCAUUUAUCACGUGGAUGAGUAUAAAUGUUAUCAUGACUUAGAAUAUUUACUUUGAUAGGUUGUUUAACUUUAUUCAUCCUUUUAAUCACAUGUAUGAAGGUUUAAUGAAAAUGUUACUGUCUCGGGUCAUAUUUCUAUGUGUUACUGUACCGAUUUAUAUAUUUUCAUAGGGUAGAAGUAUUUAGAUCUUUGUUCAAAGCUUUUAAGUCAUGAUACUUUCCUUACAAACUCAAAUGGACAUUAUUAUACUAGUAGUAAUGGUUAAUCUUUUAAUCGACACCAAAAAAUGAUCCAUGAUCUCCUCGCUCGUGUAAUUCAUACUGUCUUGAUGCAUUAUGGCCUGAGUCCUAGUCGGUGAUGUUAAUUAGUCUAUCUCGCCAUGUCUGGGUAUAUGUUGCUGUCUCUGUUUCUUUACAUCUGGUUGCUAUUUCAACUUCAUUUUUUUUUCUCUCCGUUAAUCUGAGUCCGCAUGUCUGGUAGGAAUAUUUAGUGUCACUGUUUUCCAGUUAAAAUUCCUCAUGAUUAGGUAGAAUUUAAUCUCUUUCAUUUCGGGUAUGCCAUCAGAGGUAUAGCAAUCAGGUGGCUUGCUUAAUUUGUGUUAAUUGAUUCGGACAGCCUUAUAAAACAUGUACAUAAUCUACUGAUUUGUUUUGAACUCAUAUUUUACAUGUUUAAUCUUAUUCGUCGAGCAGGUACUAAUCCUUUUCUUUUAUUUUUAUUUUUUGCAUGACAUCUCGCAUAUGAGUCCGGGCGACUCGUCGUCUUCUCCCACAUUCGGUGUUGGGCCAAGGCCCAACGAAACAUCACUCCUCCCUCUGUCUAGAUCUGUUCGCAGCAAUACAAAAAAAGAAAAUCUGGGCCGAAGCCCAACAGCGAACAGCCGCAACAGACCACAUCAGUUUUCUUUGGAAAAUGGACUGAGCCCAUUUACAUCAUACCUACUCCUCUAUUUUUAUUUUUGUAUGCAUUUAAUGUGUAUUGUAUGACUAACAUUUUUUCUUGUUUGUUAAUUUAGAUAAACUUUAGUGACAUUAAGGGUUUUAGUUUAGUAAUGGGUAGUUGAUUCCACAAAUCACAUUCACCUCUAUUUUCUAAACUAUUUAUGGUAUCUAUAAUAUUUAUUUGAAUAAUUGAUUUUCAACUAGUAUGCCUAUAUAUUUUUGGGUUAAAGGAAUCAUUUCUCAUUAUUACCAUCUUAGGAAUUUCAAAAUGUCACUAACACACAAAAUAUGAAACCAAUUGUAUUUUAUAAACAUUUUUAAGAUUUACCCAAUUAUACAUAUUUUAGCCGAUAAAAAAAAUAGAAAGAAAUUCAUGGCCUUUUUCAUCAUAUUUAAGAACAUAAGUCCAGGCAUUUCUAUACCAUCAUAUUCAUAUAAUAUCGUUUUUACUUAAAGAUCACUUUUGUCAAAUUAUCGUUUAAAAGGCUUGUUAUAUCCCGUGUUUGCGCAUUCGGAAAAAUUUGGAAUAAUCUUGCUUGUAGGAAAUGAGGGCUAUAUUUGAUUUUAUUUCAUAUAUGUGUGUUAUUCAUGAAAAAUAUUGAUGCGGAAAUACGGAAGAAGGCCAAGGGCGAAAUUGGAAUUUCGGGAAUUAGUUUCGGGAAUUACAAAUAAAAUCCACAAUGAAUUGGGCUCAAAAAAAAAUUAAUGGAAUUGAGGCCCAAGAGCUAUGGUGUGGCCAAGCCCAAGCCCAUGGGAAUUCUUCCAUGUGGCAUUUUAAAUAAAAAGGGUCAAAAUUGUAUAGGAUUCACUAGAACAUUUCAAGACAACAAACAAGAGAGAGAGAGAGCCAAAGACUAAGAGGGUUUCGGCUAGAGAGAGGAAGAGAAAGAAAAAAAUUUAGCUCAUCAAUUCUUGGUCCAAAAAUCAUAAUCUUCUAGUUUUCCUAUUAAGUUGGAAACCCUCUUCAAUGUGAUACAAAUUUGGAAGCAAAAGAGUACUUUUUUUACAAAGUGGAAAUUCUUGAAGAAAAAGGUAAGAAUUUUAUCUCUUUUGUUAUGGAAGAAUCAUAUGUGUUAAAAUGGUUAAAAUUGCAUGAAAAACCAUGGAAUUGUGAUGUGUGUGUGCAUGGCGUGUGUGUGUGUGUGUGAAGCAUGUAUGGCGUGAGCCAUAAUGGUAUGGGGAGGUGAGUUAAAUUUUAUUUAGCUUGCUAGUUGUGUCGUUGUGGCAUUUAUGACGUAAAUAAAGGUUUAACGAAGUGAGUUGGCAUUGAAGUUGGUUGUAUGUUGAUAUGGGAAAAUUAUAUGAUUUUUGUAUAUUCUUACAUAAUUGUGAAAGUAAGACUUUAAAUGUGGAUUAUGGUUGUUGUUAAUAAAUUUGGGAGGAAACAAUGCGAGUUAGUAGGUUCGUCGUAGUCGUUGACGUUUCGGAUAGAAUAUGGAAAGUGGCGGAUUACUUGAAUUCAUGUAUAUUGCAUGGAAUAUUAUUGGAAUACGUUUGAAUAACCUUGAAUGAGUAAAUGAAUAUGAUAAUGUGGAUAUUAGUUGAUAUUGUGGAGUUUGAAUGGAAGUUGUCGCUUUAUGUAGAAAGGAAGAAUAUUGAUGCUAGAACCUAUUUUGUUGUGAUUCUUGAUUCAUUUGGUAUUGUGGGGUUGUUGUUGUUGAUAUUGAGCUGAGCUAAGCCUCGGGGAUGUUAUAUGUAUAGGGGAAGUGCUGCCGAAAUUUCGGUAGACAAAUAUAAAGUUAAAUGAAUUCUUAAAGUCUCGCAAUUCCUAAUUGGUAACUUUGACCAUUUGUAGAUUCUGAGCGAAACGGGAUUUGGAGUUUUGGACGAGCGUAAGACGUAUAUAAGGUACAGAUACCAAUGAUCCACCACUGUAGGCUCCACUUUCUGCUAUUUCGGAGUACUCCCUUUUGAUCCGGAGUCCACUUUUGGUACAUACAUCUUUUGCUAUGUAUAUACUUCUGUAUAUCUGACUAUUUGGGUACGGCGGGGCCCUAUCCCGUCAUAUGUCUUCGUUUUGGAUUUGUAGAGGCCUGUAGUCAUAUAUGUGGGUCGUGGGUCCUAUGUGUACUCAUUUUGGUUAUGAUUUAUGUCUUAAUGCGGUCCUAUUUGUUAUGGCGGCCAAACUGGCCCAUAUGUUUGCAUCAGUAUAUAUGAUCGGCGAUGUGUAUUCCGCCGCUCCUUUUGGCUUUGGAUAUGAUAUCUUUACAAGCGUGACCUCUUAAGAUAAUAUUUGAUUUUAAAUUUGUUUUAAUGAUUAAUAUGAGAUCUGAGAUAAUCUAUAAUACGACGGUUUGGUAUGUUUGUCUGUCCGGGUGCCCAAGUAGGGCUCCAGUCGCGGCUCACGGGGCUGGGUCGUGACAAAAGUGGUAUCAGAGCGGUUUGUCCUCGGAAUGUCUACAGGCCGUGUCUCGUAGAGUCUUGUUUAUCGGUGUGUUGUGCACCACAUCUAUAAACAGGAGGCUACAGGGCAUUUAGGGUGAUCCCUUUCUUUGGAUCUUAGAUCGUGCGAUAGAGCCAGCUGUAGGAAAUGAAUUCCUUUUUUUUUCUAACCUUUGAUUGCAGCUGGAGAGCGGUAUCGACGUAAGACAGCGACUGCUGACAUUGGAAGCUACACAGUACUCAGGUAAACAAUGGUAUGAAAGACGUAUGUUGGGUAAGGUAUUCUGAAGCACGAUUAAAACAUAAAGUCGAACAUUGAAAAGAGAAAUAAACAUGAACAGUGUAGCAGGUGCAGUUGAGUUGGGCAUGUGAGGUAAGCCUCAGCAUAUUUAUACUUUUAUUUGAAAUUGUUAGCCCCGUGUGGCUAUAAGGCGAUAUGAUAUGAUAUGUAUAUACGUAUAUGUGUUGGCCCUGCGAGGCAUGGUUGGUAUUUCCUGUGUACAGGUUUUGGGAUAGUAAGAAAUACAGAGGAACCUCUGCCCAAAUUUUUCUAGAAAUACGAAAAGGGAAAUGAGAUAUAAAUUCUUAACCUGUCUUGAAGGUCGAUACCGAUAGGGUAAAUCUACUAUGUUGGAUUAAAGUUUAAGAGAUACUCUCCAUGUCAUUUGUAAGAAGCAUUACCCUUAUUUGGGAAAUUUUAAUUCGAGAAAGCAUAUAUGAGCAGCAAAUUUGCAAUUCAUUUGAACGGACCAGAAUACGUCCCAACCACAUCGUGCUUUAGAAAAGCCCAUGCUGAAGGGCAAAAAUGUCCAACGAUUAAGUUUUAUUUUAUUGGAAGGAUACGAAGUGUAUGACAGGUAGUUGAGAAUUAAAUGGUUCGCUCACGACUCAAAAAGAAAAAUAUAAAUAUGGUGGUAAUUAUGUGAAUUAAGAUUCCGUGAAGUUCGUCGGACUUCAGUUUUAUUUUGCUGGUAGUUGGAGAAUGCCUUAUAGUAACAUUUUAUGAAUUUUUAUCGACUAAUCGGAGAUGGAAUUUGUGGAAUGAAAACCUAAAUUUGUGGACUGUCUAGAAUUAUAUAUAUAUAUAUGCAUGAAGGUGAAUAUUGAGGAUUUACAGGGGGCGACACGGUGACUAUAUAGUCCGAAAAGUAAAGGAAUUCUCUCUAGAUCGGGGUGGAACCCGCUACGAGAACGUUUUGAAAAUACGUAAGACCCCGAUUUGCCUUAAAUUAUGUGAUAAAGGUUGUGCGGGGAAAUUUAUGCCAUUAUACCGGCCUUAACGCGUCUAAAUGCAUUAAAGUUGUAAGGUUAAGCGUGCCAGGGCCAGACCAAUUCUGGGAUGGGUGACCCCCUGGGAAAUGUACAAAAAUUUUCGCAAAUAUGGAUACAAGAGGCGAAUAGGAAAGUUGGAGUAACCUAAAAGGAAAUUAGGGUACGUGGAAUGAUCAGAAACUUUAUAAAGGUCGCGUGGGCUGAGACGGAUUAGAUUGGUGAAAAAUAAGAAAGAGCAAUGCAGCUCUAGAAUUAGAGUGAGUUGAACCAAUGAUUGCAGAUGUCUUGUGAAAGAAAUGACAGUGAUAUAUAUAUAUAUAUAUAUAUAUAUAUAUAUAUAUAUAUAUAUAUAUAUAUAUGUAUGUAUGUAUAGGACCCCAUUUAUGAUUUUGCCGAUCGAUUGGAGAACCUUAAUAGACAGUGCUAUAAUAUAUGGAAGACAUUAACAGAAUAUAAUUUAUGAGACAAAGUGAAAGGUAUGAUACAGAUGUUAUGAGAUAAACAGAUAUUGAUUUUGCUCUGGGUUGAGAUUGGAAGAUGCUAAUACGGCGAUAUUUUGGAAAGAAAAGAGAAUAAUUGAGUGGAAGGUAAGGAGACCAAAGGGGGGUGAACCGUAAGGAACGUAAUUAAGCAGAGCUCCUAAAAGAGUCGACGGGCAAGGCACGAAAUUACUUGCGAAAAACGAACUGGAAUGUAAUAAUGCAGGGCAAAAGAAAAACCUAUGGCAUGGAAUGAUGAAUCAUGCGAAUAUUGAGUAAUUUGACUAUUGAGAAAAAUAGAACAACGGAUAAGGGACGGGUAUGAAGGAAGGAUAUGAUUAUUAAAGGAUAAAUUGCUAUAUUAAUUAAAUUAUUCGAGUGCCAGCUAUCAGAUAAGAUUUUGUACUAUAUAACCGAGAGUUCUCAUCGCCUCGUGAUUUGGUUAAGGUCUUGUACGAAGAAAACCAAGUUAUAGAUUAGAAAGAAAAGACACGGAUACGGUAUAAGUAUAACCCCAAAGGGGGGAAAGCGGAUGCAAGUGAAGUAAAGUAAGUACAAAUGGAAAUAAUUGACACACAAGAUCAAAGCGAUAAAGAAUUAGCCUAGGUCUUCGACAUCAACUGAGGUACAUAAUUUUUGGGAUUGGCCGAAUAUCACAGGAGGUCUGUGGAGAACUUUGUGUCUGCUACGACACUAUUAUCGAAGCUAACUCAGAAGGCAGUGGAAUUUCAGUGAACCGGUACUUUUGAAUGCAGUUUCCUGUUGCUGAAGGAAAAAUUAAUUACAGCUCCAGUCCUAGUUCUUCCUAAAAGGGGGCAGACGGGAAAGUUAUUUAUUAUGAUGCUUCCGGUAUUGGGACAGGUUUUGCAUUAGUACAGCAUGGUCGGAUUAUAGUCUAUGUUCCCCGACAGCUCAGACCGCACAAGAGAAAUUAUUUCGCUUAUGACCUGGAAUUAGCUGCGGUGAUUCAUGUUUUAGAGAUGUGGCGGCAUCACUUGCAUGGGGUCCACGUUGAUAUUUAUACGGACCAUAAGUGCCUCCAGUAUAUUUUAAGAAAAAGGAGCUGAAUUUGCGACAGAGAAGAUGGUUCGAAUUAUUUAAAGAUUUUGAUGUUAAUAUGUUGUAUCAUCCUGGAAAAGCUAGUGUGGUAGUUGACGUACUUAGCCGCAAGUCCGUGGGCAGUUUGAUUGAUAUACAGUCUGAUAAGAAAGAAUUGGUUCGUGACAAUUUAUCAGUUAGCCAGCUUCGGAGUCCGUUUGGUAGAUUCUGGAGAUACUGGAAUUUCUGUUCGAGAAAUUGUUGAGUCAUCAAUUAUGGUAGAGGUAAAACAGCGCCGGUUCGAGGAUCCUAUUCUGGUAUAGUACAGAGAUACAACCCUUGACAAGAAAAGAUCCAGUUCGAGGUUUCACCUAAUGGAUAUUGCUAUACAGAGGCGGAUUAUGUGUGCCUGACGUUGCAGGGCCGCAAUGGCCAAUUAUGGGCGAAGCACAUAAGGUUCGACAUUCUAUUCAUUCUGAAUCCACGAAAAUGUACCAUGAUCUUAAAUGUUUAUACUGAUGGGACAGUAUGAAAAGGGACACUGCAUAGUUCGCUGGCCAAUGCCCAAAUUGUCAGUGAGUCAAGAUCGAGCAUCAAAAGCCCGGCGGAUUUCUACAGGAAAUGAAAUUCCAGCUUGGAAAUGAGAAAUGAUUAAUAUAGACUUCAUUAUGGGUUUACCGCGCACUGCACGCAGGUAUGAUUCUAUUUGAGUUAUUGUUGAUAGAUUGACGAAAUCAGCUUGUUUUCUCCUGGUCAGGACUACUUAUUGGGCUGAGAAUUAUGCCAGAUGACAUAUUAAAGAGAUAGCAAGAUUUCACGGAAUCUCUGUAUCUAUUAUAACCGACAGAGGUGCCCAGUUUACGGCUAACUUCUGGGGAUCGUCCCAGGGAGGGCUGAGAACUCAUGUGAGUCAUAGCACAGUAUGUCAUCCUCAGUCCGACGGACAGGCCGAGCGUACUAUUCAGACACUGGAACAUAUGCUACGGGUAUAUGUUAUUGAUUUGAAGGAUAGUGGAGGUGAUCAUUUACCGUUAACUGAAUUUGCUUAUUAUAAUAAUAGUUAUCGUUCCCUUAUCCAGAUAGCACCAUACGAAAUACGAGACCUUAUACAGUAGAAAAUGCAGAUUUCCGAUUGGUUGGUUCGAUGUGGGCGAAACUAAAUUAAUUGAGUCAGAUGUGACUAAUCGCCUGUGAAGGGCGUAAUGGGAUUCGGUAAAAGAGUAAGCUUAGUCCGUGGUACAUCGGGCCGUAUCAGAUUAUUCGGAAGAUAAGCGAGGUCGCCUAUGAGUUAGAUUUACCAUUUGAUCUGGAGAAACUACAUCCGGUAUUCCUUGUAUCCAUGCUCCGUAAUGUGUCGGUGAUCCUUCCAGAAAACUUUCGGUGGAUGAUAUUCGGGUGACGGAAGACUUGUCUUAUGAAGACCUGUGGCUACUCUGGAUCGUCAGGUGAGGAGGCUACGUACCAAAAAAAAAAUAUACCCUCCGUUAAGGUCUUUUGGCGAAACAAUGAUAAAGAAGAAAUGACAUGGGGAGCAGAGGACGAAAUGAAGAAAGAGUAUCCCCACUUGUUUCCUACGCCCACAGGUAAUCUAAGCUCUUAAGUUGGUUAUAUUGAUUGACAAAUGACUUAUGUGUGCUAUUCCUAAAAAGAAACUCCCCCACCAUAUUUAUAAAACCCUAUAAGGCUAAUUUAACAUUCGAGGACGAAUGUUCUAAAGGGGGGGAGAAUGUUAUAUCCCGUGUUUGCGCAUUCGGAAAAAUUUGGAAUAAUCUUGCUUGUAGGAAAUGAGGGCUAUAUUUGAUUUUAUUUCAUAUAUGUGUGUUAUUCAUGAAAAAUAUUGAUGCGGAAAUACAGAAGAAGGCCAAGGGCGAAAUUGGAAUUUCGGGAAUUAGUUUCGGGAAUUACAAAUAAAAUCCACAAUGAAUUGGGCUCAAAAAAAAUUAAUGGAAUUGAGGCCCAAGAGCUAUGGGGUGGCCAAGCCCAAGCCCAUGGGAAUUCUUCCAUGUGGCAUUUUAAAUAAAAAGGGUCAAAAUUGUAUGGGAUUCACUAGAACAUUUCAAGACAACAAACAAGAGAGAGAGAGAGCCAAAGACUAAGAGGGUUUCGGCUAGAGAGAGGAAGAGAAAGAAAAAAAUUUAGCUCAUCAAUUCUUGGUCCAAAAAUCAUAAUCUUCUAGUUUUCCUAUUAAGUUGGAAACCCUCUUCAAUGUGAUACAAAUUUGGAAGCAAAAGAGUACUUUUUUUACAAAGUGGAAAUUCUUGAAGAAAAAGAUUCUGAGCGAAACGGGAUUUGGAGUUUUGGACGAGCGUAAGACGUAUAUAAGGUAUGUAAGGCUACCCAUUCCUUCUUUUGGCAUGUCUUAGGUAUACUGGGUCGAUAUUGGAGCCCCGAGGGCAAUUCUGUUCCUAGAAAUCCGAAUUGGAAAUUGAGUACUAUUCACACAAUUGAAUUGAAUUAUAAAACUCAUAUUUUGUUGAAAAGUGAUCAAAUGUCCGGAACUUUUGUAAAUGUAAUCGAAUCACUUCGAAACUUCCAUGUAUGAUUCCGUAGACCCCAAAUGUCCGUGAUUCAUGUCCGCCACCUCGACUUGACCCGAGGUGGGCCCGCUAGCAUCGAGGGUCCCUUGUUUGCUCUAUUAGUCUCAUUUUGUACAAUGUCGGCAAAGCACUUUUGUUUAUGAAUUUUGACUAUCAUAAAGUAAUGUUUUGACUGCCACGAUAUUCUAAAUUAUAUUUUGAACCAUAAAUACUACUUUGGAAGUACUUUUGUGAAACGAACCCCGUAUUGACUAAUUGUUCGAACUACUUGACUAAUGAGUUAGCAUAUGAUAUUAUCAAGUUUCAAAAGGUGUUUUGAUAUAUAAAUUGCAUUGUUUGCUCACGACUCCGCUCGUGCCCCUAUUAUGACUUCGUUCACCGGUUCCCGGGCCGGCUAUGGUUCGUGCGCGCUAUGAUAAAUUUGGCCGUAUGCUGUGUUACGGUUCCCGAGACCUCGCCAUAGGGCCGGGUUCCGUUUGGAGUUAUGCUGUGAUAUGGCUGGUGAUAUGUUAUGAUGAUAUGUGUGUUCGGGGAUGUACGGAGAUUUGAACCUUCUGGUGUUAUGCUGUGUGUGGCACCAGCGUCGGAGUGGUGACCACAUUCCUGAGCUUUUGCAUGAUUUUAUCUGCAUUAGGUACAGAUACCAGUGAUCCACCACUGUAGGCUCCACUUUCUGCUAUUUCGGAGUACUCCCUUUUGAUCCGGAGUCCACUUUUGGUACAUACAUCUUUUGCUAUGUAUAUACUUCUGUAUAUCUGACUAUUUGGGUACGGCGGGGCCCUGUCCCGUCAUAUGUCUUCGUUUUGGAUUUGUAGAGGACUGUAGUCAUAUAUGUGGGUCGUGGGUCCUAUGUGUACUCAUUUUGGUUAUGAUUUAUGUCUUAAUGCGGUCCUAUUUGUUAUGGCGGCCAAACUGGCCCAUAUGUUUGCAUCAGUAUAUAUGAUCGGCGAUGUGUAUUCCGCCGCUCCUUUUGGCUUUGGAUAUGAUAUCUUUACAAGCGUGACCUCUUAAGAUAAUAUUUGAUUUUAAAUUUGUUUUAAUGAUUAAUAUGAGA